UAUAAAGCGGAUGGGGUGUGAUUCAAGAGAGUAAUUCAAGUUUCAAAGUGUAGAAUCUCUUGGUGAGAUUUUUAGUGUUUAGAAUGAAAGUAGGAGCUUAGUCUUAGGGGUCAUCCUGAAACUCCAAUGGUCUUUCUGCUCACAAAGAGAGGAUUGAACCAUGUGGUGAGGAGUAGCAGGAGGUCUUAGUCUUGGGGGCUUCCAGUACGCCUCAAGGCCCGGAACAGGUAACCUCGUGAGUGUGGCAGGGUG
rnacentral:lncRNA from 1 species